rnacentral:rRNA from 1 species
UACAGGGGGGGGCAAGCGUUGUUCGGAAUUACUGGGCGUAAAGGGCUCGUAGGCGGCCAACUAAGUCAGACGUGAAAUCCCUCGGCUUAACCGGGGAACUGCGUCUGAUACUGGAUGGCUUGAGUUCGGGAGAGGGAUGCGGAAUUCCAGGUGUAGCGGUGAAAUGCGUAGAUAUCUGGAGGAACACCGGUGGCGAAGGCGGCAUCCUGGACCGACACUGACGCUGAGGAGCGAAAGCCAGGGGAGCAAACGGG